rnacentral:rRNA from 1 species
UACGUAGGGGGCAAGCGUUGUCCGGAAUUAUUGGGCGUAAAGAGCUCGUAGGCGGUUUGUCGCGUCUGCUGUGAAAUCCCGAGGCUCAACCUCGGGUCUGCAGUGGGUACGGGCAGACUAGAGUGCGGUAGGGGAGACUGGAAUUCCUGGUGUAGCGGUGAAAUGCGCAGAUAUCAGGAGGAACACCGGUGGCGAAGGCGGGUCUCUGGGCCGUAACUGACGCUGAGGAGCGAAAGCAUGGGGAGCGAACAGG